GAAUCAGUAGUAUAGUGGUUAAUAUACUCGCCUUCCAAGCGAGUGUCCCGAGUUCGAAUCUCGGCUGAUUCA